rnacentral:rRNA from 1 species
ACGUAGGGUGCAAGCGUUAACCGGAAUUAUUGGGCGUAAAGAGUGCGCAGGUGGUUUUUUAAGCAGGAUGUGAAAUGCAAGAGCUUAACUAUUGUAAGCCUUGCGAACUGGCAGACUUGAGUGUAGGAGAGGAGAGUGGAAUUCCUAGUGUAGCGGUGAAAUGCGUAGAUAUUCGGAGGAACACCAGUGGCGAAGGCAGCCCUCUGGACUGAAACUGACACUCAUGCACGAAAGCGUGGGGAGCAAACAG